rnacentral:rRNA from 1 species
AGAGUUUGAUCAUGGCUCAGGACGAACGCUGGCGGCACGCUUAACACAUGCAAGUCGAACGAGAGAAGAGGAGCUUGCUUUUCUGAUCUAGUGGCGGACGGGUGAGUAACACGUGAGCAAUCUGCCUUUCAGAGGGGGAUACCGAUUGGAAACGAUCGUUAAUACCGCAUAACAUAAUUGAACCGCAUGAUUUGAUUAUCAAAGAUUUAUCGCUGAAAGAUGAGCUCGCGUCUGAUUAGCUAGUUGGUAAGGUAACGGCUUACCAAGGCGACGAUCAGUAGCCGGACUGAGAGGUUGAUCGGCCACAUUGGGACUGAGACACGGCCCAGACUCCUACGGGAGGCAGCAGUGGGGAAUAUUGCACAAUGGAGGAAACUCUGAUGCAGCGAUGCCGCGUGAGGGAAGAAGGUUUUAGGAUUGUAAACCUCUGUCUUCAGGGACGAAAAAAGACGGUACCUGAGGAGGAAGCUCCGGCUAACUACGUGCCAGCAGCCGCGGUAAUACGUAGGGGGCGAGCGUUGUCCGGAAUUACUGGGUGUAAAGGGAGCGUAGGCGGGAUCGCAAGUCAGAUGUGAAAACUAUGGGCUUAACCCAUAAACUGCAUUUGAAACUGUGGUUCUUGAGUGAAGUAGAGGUAAGCGGAAUUCCUAGUGUAGCGGUGAAAUGCGUAGAUAUUAGGAGGAACAUCAGUGGCGAAGGCGGCUUACUGGGCUUUAACUGACGCUGAGGCUCGAAAGCGUGGGGAGCAAACAGGAUUAGAUACCCUGGUAGUCCACGCCGUAAACGAUGAUUACUAGGUGUGGGGGGACUGACCCCUUCCGUGCCGCAGCAAACGCAAUAAGUAAUCCACCUGGGGAGUACGACCGCAAGGUUGAAACUCAAAGGAAUUGACGGGGGCCCGCACAAGCAGUGGAGUAUGUGGAUUAAUUCGAAGCAACGCGAAGAACCUUACCAGGUCUUGACAUCGUAUGCAUAGCUCAGAGAUGAGUGAAAUCUCUUCGGAGACAUAUAGACAGGUGGUGCAUGGUUGUCGUCAGCUCGUGUCGUGAGAUGUUGGGUUAAGUCCCGCAACGAGCGCAACCCUUACUGUUAGUUGCUACGCAAGAGCACUCUAGCAGGACUGCCGUUGACAAAACGGAGGAAGGUGGGGAUGACGUCAAAUCAUCAUGCCCCUUAUGACCUGGGCCUCACACGUACUACAAUGGCUGUCAACAGAGGGAAGCAAAGCCGCGAGGUGGAGCGAACCCCUAAAAGCAGUCUUAGUUCGGAUUGUAGGCUGCAACCCGCCUACAUGAAGUCGGAAUUGCUAGUAAUCGCAGAUCAGCAUGCUGCGGUGAAUACGUUCCCGGGCCUUGUACACACCGCCCGUCACGCCAUGGGAGUCGGUAACACCCGAAGCCUGUAGUCUAACCGCAAGGAGGACGCAGUCGAAGGUGGGAUUGAUGACUGGGGUGAAGUCGUAACAAGGUA